UCGAUCUCAAAUCAGGCGGGACUACCCGCUGAACUUAAGCAUAUCAAUAAGCGGAGGAAAAGAAACUAACAAGGAUUCCCCUAGUAACUGCGAGUGAAGCGGGAAAAGCUCAAAUUUGAAUCUGGCGGUCUUUGGC
rnacentral:rRNA from 1 species